rnacentral:rRNA from 1 species
CCGGCUAACUCUGUGCCAGCAGCCGCGGUAAUACAGAGGGUGCGAGCGUUAAUCGGAUUUACUGGGCGUAAAGCGUGCGUAGGCGGCUGAUUAAGUCGGAUGUGAAAUCCCCGAGCUUAACUUAGGAAUUGCAUUCGAUACUGGUCAGCUAGAGUAUGGGAGAGGAUGGUAGAAUUCCAGGUGUAGCGGUGAAAUGCGUAGAGAUCUGGAGGAAUACCGAUGGCGAAGGCAGCCAUCUGGCCUAAUACUGACGCUGAGGUACGAAAGCAUGGGGAGCAAACAGGAUUAGAUACCCUGGUAGUCCAUGCCGUAAACGAUGUCUACUAGCCGUUGGGGCCUUUGAGGCUUUAGUGGCGCAGCUAACGCGAUAAGUAGACCGCCUGGGGAGUACGGUCGCAAGACUAAAACUCAAAUGAAUUGACGGGGGCCCGCACAAGCGGUGGAGCAUGUGGUUUAAUUCGAUGCAACGCGAAGAACCUUACCUGGCCUUGACAUACUAGAAACUUUCCAAAGAUGGAUUGGUGCCUUCGGGAAUCUAGAUACAGGUGCUGCAUGGCUGUCGUCAGCUCGUGUCGUGAGAUGUUGGGUUAAGUCCCGCAACGAGCGCAACCCUUUUCCUUACUUGCCAGCAUUUCGGAUGGGAACUUUAAGGAUACUGCCAGUGACAAACUGGAGGAAGGCGGGGACGACGUCAAGUCAUCAUGGCCCUUACGGCCAGGGCUACACACGUGCUACAAUGGUCGGUACAAAGGGUUGCUA